CAGCAGCCGCGGUAAUACCGGCGGCCCGAGUGGCGGUCACUAUUAUUUGGCUUAAAACGUCCGUAGCCGGGUUGGGAAGUCCUCCGGGAAAUCUGGCCGCUUAACGGUCAGAAUGCCGGAGGAUACUCCCAGCCUAGGGAGCGGGAGAGGCCGAGGGGAUUCCCGGAGUAGGGGGGAAAUCCUAUAAUCCCGGGAGGACCACCUGUGGCGAAGGCGCUCGGCUGGAACGCGUCCGACGGUGAGGGACGAAGGCCAGGGGAGCAAACCGGAUUAGAUACCCGGGUAGUCCUGGCUGUAAACGAUGCGGACUUUGUGUCGGACAAGCUAUGAGCUUGUCCGGUGCCGGAGGGAAACCGUUAAGUCCGCCGCCUGGGGAGUACGGCCGCAAGGCUGAAACUUAAAGGAAUUGGCGGG
rnacentral:rRNA from 1 species